CUGGAAACAGUAUCUAUAAAUCUCCAUCAGAAGCUUCUAAAAAUGGAAGAAAUGUUUCUUUGCUGAAUGGACCACAGGCUAAAUUAAAGGAGAUUUGCUUUAAGCUGCUUUCACAAACUUGACUUCAAUUCCAAGAAAUUCUUGCCCAAGAAGAUGAAGUUGCAAAUAACUGCAGUUUCAGGAACUUCCUCAAAGUCCAUUUAUCUGAACAACAGACUAUUGACUGACCUAGCCUUCAUCAGGAUAAACAGCCUGCUCCUCAACAGAUUACUCUUGGAUUUGUCAAACAAUUGUUUACUCUUCUAGGCUCCCUUCAAAACUCUCCCCUCCCUGUAAUCGUCCUGAAUGAUAUUAUAAAUUCAGUCCAGUCUCAAUCAUGCUUUCAUUGAAAAGACUUGUCUUAAACCAGAUGCCCUGAAUCUUAGAACUAUUCUACACAUGACGUCCCUUUUUGAGAUGCUAAGACUAUCAACAUAGUGGUAUCACUUACUGUUGUAAGCAAUAAACUUGGCUUUGAUCAACA